rnacentral:rRNA from 1 species
UACGAAGGGGGCUAGCGUUGUUCGGAAUACUGGGCGUAAAGCGCGCGCAGGCGGUUCUUCAAGUCAGAGGUGAAAGCCCAGAGCUCAACUCUGGAAUGGCCUUUGAGACUAGAGAACUAGGGUACGGGAGAGGUGAGUGGAAUUCCGAGUGUAGAGGUGAAAAUUCGUAGAUAUUCGGAAGAACACCAGUGGCGAAGGCGGCUCACUGGCCCGUUACCGACGCUCAGGCGCGACAGCGUGGGGAGCCAAACAGGG